AGGAGACAUAUCUGCUACAGCUGAUCCCAACUGAUCAUAGGGGUGUUUGAGACCACGUGGCAGCAGGCUCAGCAAUAAAGGGGGCAGUUUUUCCAGGGGGCAGCUCCUCAGGGACAGGCUGGGCACCAGUUGGAUGGUGAGAGAAAAAAAGGCUACCUGAGGAAACCAAGUGAAUACAGCUGCUUGGAAAAGAGUGGCAUCAACAUAAUCCACUGUAAGAAGUAAGGAAGACAUAGCCAGCAGUUAUAUGUAAUGACAGUAUGCUUUCCAGAGGCUGGGCAAAACUUUCUUCAAAUACUAAUCAUGGACACUGAAACUAGUAGUCAUACAAAUGACAAGCUGUGGAAAGACAGACUGAUACAUCUAUG